CCACCAGACUCCUACGGGAGGCAGCAGUGAGGAAUAUUGGUCAAUGGGCGGGAGCCUGAACCAGCCAAGCCGCGUGAAGGAAGAAGGCGCCAGGCGUCGUAAACUUCUUUUGUCGGGGAACAAAGGGCGCCACGUGUGGCGUUGUGAGUGUACCCGAAGAAAAAGCAUCGGCUAACUCCGUGCCAGCAGCCGCGGUAAUACGGAGGAUGCGAGCGUUAUCCGGAUUUAUUGGGUUUAAAGGGUGCGUAGGCGGUUUGAUAAGUUAGAGGUGAAAUGUCGGGGCUCAACCCCGAAACUGCCUCUAAUACUGUUGGACUAGAGAAUAGUUGCGGUAGGCGGAAUGUAUGGUGUAGCGGUGAAAUGCUUAGAGAUCAGACAGAACACCGAUUGCGAAGGCAGCUUACCAAACUAUAUCUGACGUUGAGGCACGAAAGCGUGGGUAGCAAACAGGAUUAGAUACCCUUGCAU
rnacentral:rRNA from 1 species